rnacentral:tmRNA from 1 species
GGGGGUGAUCUGGUUUCGACGUGGGUUACAAAGCGGACGAGGGCAUACCGAGGCUCAGCUACCUCGUAAAUACAACUGAAAACACUUAAACGCAAACGAUAAAACGUUCGCUUUAGCAGCUUAAUCGCUGUUAGCCGCUGUCCCGAGUUGUCUUUGGCUUGGAGUACAGCGUCAUUUACAAAGAAUCGACCGCAUUUGGGUGGCUUAAAUGUGGUUUAAAUCCAAGGUCAAUCGCGGAUCGAGCGUUAGCUUAAUUGAUGCAACCUCCGCUAAAGUUUAAAAAAUUAAGCUAAGUAUGUAGAACUCUUCGUAGAGGAUUUGCGGACGCGGGUUCGAUUCCCGCCAUCUCCACCA